ensembl:lncRNA novel transcript
AGGGGGAGCAGUGGGUAUUUUGAUGAAAGCCACCCCUGUCUACAGCUCAGAAGCAGACUCAAUGGUUUCCUUGUGAGAGGUCCGGCUCCCUGGCCUAGAAAUGGAGGCCUCACGGGCAGGAGGGUAGUGGUAUGUAGCUGUAGUGGUAUGUGCUCUCUCUCAAUGCUGAGCUGCAGCUCCCAGUCAGCCACUGGAUCAUGAGGGUAAAAUACGGAUACUUGACAUCUUCUUAAAGAACAUCAUGCCUGCUAAGCCAUCCAGUUUGGAUGCCCCAGUGCCUUCCACCAGCCAUUCUCAAGCCUCAUUAGAAGAGAGAGAUUGAUGACCCUGUAGCUGCAGCAUCCCAUCAUCCUGCAUUUUAGUUCAAUGCUUCAAACGUUCUUCAGGCCCAGUGUGCUUUCAGCUGUGUAUGUUAAUGGUGCAUCUCCUGCUGUUCCCAAUCUACUCAUCCUAGGAACCAACUCAGGUCAGGAGAAGCAAGGAAAGCCUUACAACCUGUUACUGACCGGAGGGGAUGAAGGAGACAGGGAAACUACAACACAUGGAAUGUGGUAUCCUGAAUGGGACCCUGGAACCAAAGAAUGACACUGGGGAAGAACUGCUGAAAUUCAAGUAAAAUGUGGAGUCUCGUUAGUGGCAAUGUACCAAGGUUGGAUUCUGAGUUAUAAUAACGUACCAUAAUAAUGUAAGAUGUUAUCAGUAGAGGAAAGGGGAUGAGGAGUAUAUGUCAAUUCUCUGUACUAACUUUGCAAAUUUGCUAGAAAUCUAAAACUAUUCUAAAAUGUUACAAAGUUUAUUUACAGAAGAAGGCUGUUAAGGAUUUCAAUAAUUAGUCAUAUAGCAUUAGGUAUAUCUCCCAGAGUGUGAUGUUCCCCUUCCUGUGUCCAUGUGAUCUCAUUGUUCAAUUCCCACCUAUGAGUGAGAACAUGCAGUGUUUGGUUUAUUGUCCUUGCAAUAGUUUACUGAGAAUGAUGAUUUCCAGUUUCAUCCAUGUCCCAACAAAGGACAUGAACUCAUCAUUUUUUAUGGCUGCAUAGUAUUCCAUGGUGUAUAUGUGCCACAUUUUCUUAAUCCAGUCUAUCAUUGUUGGACAUUUGGGUUGGUGCCAAGUCUUUGCUAUUGUGAAUAGUGCCACAAUAAACAUACGUGUGCAUGUGUCUUUAUAGCAGCAUGAUUUAUAGUCCUUUGGGUAUAUACCCAGUAAUGGGAUGGCUGGGUCAAACGGUAUUUCUAGUUCUAGAUCCCUGAGGAAUCGCCACACUGACUUCCACAAUGGUUGAACUAGUUGACAGUCCCACCAACAGUGUAAAAGUGUUCCUAUUUCUCCACAUCCUCUCCAACACCUGUUGUUUCAUGACUUUUGAAUGAUUGCCAUUCUAACUGGUGUGAGAUGGUAUCUCAUUGUGGUUUUGAUUUGCAUUUCUCUGAUGGCCAGUGGUGAUGAGCAUUUUUUCAUGUGUUUUUUGGCUGCAUAAAUGUCUUCUUUUGAGAAGUGUCUGUUCAUAUCCUUCGCCCACUUUUUGAUGGGGUUGUUUGUUUUUUUCUUGUAAAUUUGUUUGAGUUCAUUGUAGAUUCUGGAUAUUAGCCCUUUGUCAGAUGAGUAGGUUGCAAAAAUUUUCUCCCAUUCUGUAGGUUGCCUGUUCACUCUGAUGGUAGUUUCUUUUGCUGUGCAGAAGCUCUUUAGUUUAAUUAGAUCCCAUUUGUCAAUUUUGGCUUUUGUUGCCAUUGCUUUUGGUGUUUUAGACAUGAAGUCCUUGCCCAUGCCUGUGUCCUGAAUGGUAUUGCCUAGGUUUUCUUCUAGGGUUUUUAUGGUUUUAGGUCUAACAUGUAAGUCUUUAAUCCAUCUUGAAUUGAUUUUUGUAUAAGGCGUAAGGAAGGGAUCCAGUUUCAGCUUUCAACAUAUGGCUAGCCAGUUUUCCCAGCACCAUUUAUUAAAUAGGGAAUCCUUUCCCCAUUACUUGUUUUUCUCAGGUUUAUCAAAGAUCAGAUAGUUGUAGAUAUGUGGCCUUAUUUCUGAGGGCUCUGUUCUGUUCCAUUGAUCUAUAUCUCUGUUUUGGUACCAGUACCAUGCUGUUUUGGUUACUGUAGCCUCGUAGUAUAGUUUGAAGUCAGGUAGUGUGAUGCCUCCAGCUUUGUUCUUUUGGCUUAGGAUUGACUUGGCGAUGUGGGCUCUUUUUUGGUUCCAUAUGAACUUUAAAGUAGUUUUUUCCAAUUCUGUGAAGAAAGGCAUUGGUAGCUUGAUGGGGAUGGCAUUGAAUCUAUAAAUUACCUUGGGCAGUAUGGCCAUUUUCACCAUAUUGAUUCUUCCUACCCAUGAGCAUGGAAUGUUCUUCCAUUUGUUUGUAUCCUCUUUUAUUUCAUUGAGCAGUGGUUUGUAGUUCUCCUUGAAGAGGUCCUUCAGGUCCCUUGUAAGUUGGAUUCCUAGGUAUUUUAUUCUCUUUGAAGCAAUUGUGAAUGGGAAUUCACUCAUGAUUUGGCUCUCUGUUUGUCUGUUAUUGGUGUCUAAGAAUGCUUGUGAUUUUUGUACAUUGAUUUUGUAUCCUGAGACUUUGCUGAAGUUGCUUAUCAGCUUAAGGAGAUUUUGGGCUGAGACAAUGGGGUUUUCUAGAUAUACAGUCAUGUCAUCUGCAAACAGGGACAAUUUGACUUCCUCUUUUCCUAAUUGAAUACCCUUUAUUUCCUUCUCCUGCCUAAUUGCCCUGGCCAGAACUUCCAACACUAUGUUGAAUAGGAGUGGUGAGAGAGGGCAUCCCUGUCUUGUGCCAGUUUUCAAAGGGAAUGCUUCCAGUUUUUGCCCAUUCAAUGUGAUAUUGGCUGUGGGUUUGUCAUAGAUAGCUCUUAUGAUUUUGAGAUACGUCCCAUCAAUACCUAAUUUAUUGAGAGUUUUUAGCAUGAAGCGUUGUUGAAUUUUGUCAAAGGCCUUUUCUGCAUCUAUUGAGAUAAUCAUGUGGUUUUUGUCUUUGGUUCUGUUUAUAUGCUGGAUUACAUUUAUUGAUUUGUGUAUAUUGAACCAGCCUUGUAUCCCAGGGAUGAAGCCCACUUGAUCAUGGUGGAUAAGCUUUUUGAUGUGCUGCUGGAUUCAGUUUGCCAGUAUUUUAUUGAGGAUUUUUGCAUCAAUGUUCAUCAAGGAUAUUGGUCUGAAAUUCUCUUUUUUGGUUGUGUCUCUGCCCGGCUUUGGUAUCAGGAUGAUGCUGGCCUCAUCAAAUGAGUUAGGGAGGAUUCCCUCUUUUUCUAUUGAUUGGAAUAGUUUCAGAAGGAAUGGUACCAGUUCCUCCUUGUACCUCUGGUAGAAUUCGGCUGUGAAUCCAUCUGGUCCUGGACUCUUUUUGGUUGGUAAGCUAUUGAUUAUUGCCACAAUUUCAGCUCCUGAUAUUGGUCUAUUCAGAGAUUCAACUUCUUCCUGGUUUAGUCUUGGGAGAGUAUAUGUGUCGAGGAAUUUAUCCAUUUCUUCUAGAUUUUCUAGUUUAUUUGCAUAGAGGUGUUUGUAGUAUUCUCUGAUGGUAGUUUGUAUUUCUGUGGGAUCGGUGGUGAUAUGCCCUUUAUCAUUUUUUAUUGCAUCUAUUUGAUUCUUCUCUCUUUUUUUCUUUAUUAGUCUUGCUAGCAUUCUAUUAACUUUGUUGAUCCUUUCAAAAAACCAUCUCCUGGAUUCAUUAAUUUUUUGAAGGGUUUUUUGUGUC